AUUGAACGCUGGCGGCAGGCCUAACACAUGCAAGUCGAGCGGAUGAAGGGAGCUUGCUCCUGGAUUCAGCGGCGGACGGGUGAGUAAUGCCUAGGAAUCUGCCUGGUAGUGGGGGAUAACGUCCGGAAACGGGCGCUAAUACCGCAUACGUCCUGAGGGAGAAAGUGGGGGAUCUUCGGACCUCACGCUAUCAGAUGAGCCUAGGUCGGAUUAGCUAGUUGGUGGGGUAAAGGCCUACCAAGGCGACGAUCCGUAACUGGUCUGAGAGGAUGAUCAGUCACACUGGAACUGAGACACGGUCCAGACUCCUACGGGAGGCAGCAGUGGGGAAUAUUGGACAAUGGACGAAAGCCUGAUCCAGCCAUGCCGCGUGUGUGAAGAAGGUCUUCAGAUUGUAAAGCACUUUAAGUUGGGAGGAAGGGCAGUAAGUUAAUACCUUGCUGUUUUGACGUUACCAACAGAAUAAGCACCGGCUAACUUCGUG
rnacentral:rRNA from 1 species